GCAGAGUUCAAUUCCUUAUUGGAGCUGGAGGAGUGUGAAUGGUGUGUCUGGCUGAGGGAGCUACAGGACCUCAGACAGAGCAGUGCUGGCAGAGACCAGUGGGCACGAGAAGGUGAUCUGUGCUGGUGGCUGGGACUCAACCAGUGCAAGGCCCUGAGCCCCAGCAAAGCCAUGAGGUGUUGAGAGCAGCCAAAACAGUUGGAAUGAUCUCUGGGUUUCAUUAUCUCAACUGCAGGUUACGAUAGUGAGUUCCAGAAAUAGCAACAGCAAAUGAAUAAGAGAGAAACACUACAGUGCUGAAGGGUUAGCUUCAUAGCUGAAAGGACCAGGAAAUAAAUGUGAGUUACAUUGUCAAGUUAAAAUAACCCAGUGCUGGAAAAAGUAACUUUGUGAGCAUCAGCAAGAAGUAAUGAAGACUUGCUAUACACAGUUAUAAAUGCCCUCUGUCACCUUUUGUUUACUCAGCUAGCAAGAUCAUAUUUUUUGUAUUAUCCGAGUGCUUUUGAUCCAACCAAACCAAUGAAAAUUAAACAGAAUUCUUUCUGUUUCUAAGAAAUAGCAUUGUUUCCUGCAGAAAGACCAAGCGACUCCAUCUCCCUUUGAAAAAGCUGUCUAAGACUCUGGGCUGGCAAUAAGGAUGGGAAAAGAUCAAACAAAUCCAUAACAUGUUUUUGUUAAACACUUUAUUGCAGUUCUAAAAAUGUAUCUAGUUUAAACAUAAACAAUAAACUAGAGCACCAAGAGGUUCUAAUCAA